rnacentral:lncRNA from 1 species
AUUUCAUCUGAGGGUCUUAUAGGCCUUCUGAAGGUAAAUAGGUUUGUUUGGUUUGUGCUUACUGCUGUUGUGUCUGAGCAGAUCCUCACUCGCUGUGGCCUGAAAUCUUGCUGUCUUGUUCUUCCCAUCACAUUACAGAUGUAUGAUCCAUACUUGUCACAUACUUUAGUAAUACUGGAAUUCCCUUUGUCUGCGGAAACCCAGGAAUUCUUACAGAAGAUGCAUUACUGAGAUGGACAAAACCCCUGAACAGUAAUGAUACAAUGGAAGUUGGUCAAAAGGAGAAGCUCCUUUGGACCAGAUUCGGUGCUCUUCAGCCAGUUUCAGGACCUGUAAAUGCCACUCAAUGAACAUGAUGGACAGUUAAAGACCAAACACUUAGCAUAGUAUGAAAAGUAUCAAGGAG